rfam:Lysinibacillus sp. BF-4 contig00018, whole genome shotgun sequence.
UUCUUAUCGAGAGAAGCCGAGGGAAAGGCCCUACGACGCUUCAGCAACCUCUUGCCUAGGCAAGAAAGGUGCUAAUUCCUAUGAGAUAAGAG